rnacentral:rRNA from 1 species
GAAUCCCGUCUUUGACACGGACUGCCUGCAUGUUAUGGUGCGCUCUCAAAGAGUCGAGUUGUUUGGGAAUGCAGCUCAAAAUGGGUGGUAAAUGCCAUCUAAAGCUAAAUAUUGGCGAGAGACCGAUAGCGAACAAGUACCGUGAGGGAAAGAUGAAAAGAACUUUGGAAAGAGAGUUAAACAGUACGUGAAAUUGCUGAAAGGGAAACGCUUGAAGUCAGUCGCGUCGGCUAGAAAUCAACCUUGCUUUUGCUUGGUGUACUUUCUUGUUGAUGGGUCAGCAUCAAUUUUGACCGUUGGAUAAAGUCGUUGGGAAUGUGGCAUCUUAGGAUGUGUUAUAGCCCAUCGUCGCAUACAGCGGUUGGGAUUGAGGAACUCAGCACGCCCUUCUGGGGACGGGUUUCGACCACGUUUCGUGCUUAGGAUGCUGGCAUAAUGGCUUUAAUCGACCCGUCUUGAAACACGGACCAAGGAGUCUAACAUGCCUGCGAGUGUUUGGGUGGAAAACCCAUGCGCGCAAUGAAAGUGAAAGUUGAGAUCCCCUCAAGGGGGGCAUCGACGCCCGGACCAGAGCUUCUGUGACGGAUCCGCGGUAGAGCAUGUAUGUUGGGACCCGAAAGAUGGUGAACUAUGCCUGAAUAGGGUGAAGCCAGAGGAAACUCUGGUGGAGGCUCGUAGCGAUUCUGACGUGCAAAUCGAUCGUCAAAUUUGGGUAUAGGGGCGAAAGACUAAUCGAACCAUCUAGUAGCUGGUUCCUGCC